GACGAACGCUGGCGGCGCGCUUAACACAUGCAAGUCGAGCGAGAACCAGCCCUUCGGGGCUGGGGAGAGCGGCGAACGGGUGAGUAACACGUGGGUAAUCAACCCUCGGUACUGGGAUAGCCCGGGGAAACCCGGAUUAAUACCGGAUGGCCCUUCGAAUCCUCGGAUUUGAGGGAAAAGGUAGCUUCGGCCUCCGACCGAGGACGAGCCCGCGGCGGAUUAGCUUGUUGGUGGGGUAACGGCCUACCAAGGCGACGAUCCGUAGCUGGUCUGAGAGGACGAUCAGCCACACUGGGACUGAGACACGGCCCAGACUUCUACGGAAGGCAGCAGUGGGGAAUCUUGCGCUAAUGCGGGAAACCGUGACGCAGCGACGCCGCGUGGGGGAAGAAGGCCUUCGGGUUGUAAACCUCUUUCAGGAGGGACGAAGCUACUCGGGUUAAUAGCCCAGAGGGUGACGGUACCUCCAGAAGAAGCCCCGGCUAACUACGUGCCAGCAGCCGCGGUAA
rnacentral:rRNA from 1 species